AUUGAACGCUGGCGGCAUGCCUUACACAUGCAAGUCGAACGGUAACAGGGUGCUUGCACCGCUGACGAGUGGCGAACGGGUGAGUAAUGCGUCGGAACGUGCCGAGUAGUGGGGGAUAACGCAGCGAAAGUUGUGCUAAUACCGCAUACGUACUGAGGUAGAAAGUGGGGGACCUUCGGGCCUCACGCUAUUCGAGCGGCCGACGUCUGAUUAGCUAGUAGGUGAGGUAAAGGCUCACCUAGGCGACGAUCAGUAGCGGGUCUGAGAGGAUGAUCCGCCACACUGGGACUGAGACACGGCCCAGACUCCUACGGGAGGCAGCAGUGGGGAAUUUUGGACAAUGGGCGAAAGCCUGAUCCAGCCAUGCCGCGUGUCUGAAGAAGGCCUUCGGGUUGUAAAGGACUUUUGUCAGGGAGGAAAAGGUCCUGGUUAAUACCCGGGGCUCAUGACGGUACCGUAAGAAUAAGCCCCGGCUAACUUCGUGCCAGCCGCCGCCGUAA
rnacentral:rRNA from 1 species